rnacentral:ribozyme from 13 species
UCUGAAUGGCAAUAAUAAUAAAACUCACUUGAAAAAUGAAAAAGAAAAUUGAUCUGUUUUUCAUUUCUCAACUCAAGGAAUUCCUCUUCUCCUUUUUCUCUCCUUUUUCUCUCCCCUUUCUCUUCCUUUUCUUCUUCACAAACACCCCACCCCCCUCAAAAAAAAACUGACACAGUGCGUGAAAAGAGAAAGAGAGAAACAAAAA